AAUUUUGGACAAUGGGGGCAACCCCGAUCCAGCCAUCCCGCGUGUGCGAUGAACGCCUUCGGGUUGUAAAGCACUUUUGGCAGGGAAGAAAAGGCUCUGGUUAUUACCUGGAGCUGCGGACGGUACCUGCAGAAUAAUCACCGGCUCACUUCUUGCCAGCAGCCGCGGUAAUACGUAGGGUGCAAUCGUUAAUCGGAAUUACUGUGGGGAAAAGAGGGGGAGGCGGUUGGGCAAGAAGGAAGUGGAAAACCCGGGGUGAACAUCGGAACUGCAUUGUUGAAACCGAGGCUAGAGUAUGUCAGAGGGGGGUAGAGUUCCGCGUGUAGAAGUGAAAAGCGUAGAGAUGCGGAGGAGUACCGAUGGCGAAGACAGCGCCCUGGGAUAAUACUGACGCUCAGGAACGAAAACGUGGGGAGCAAACA
rnacentral:rRNA from 1 species